rnacentral:piRNA from 1 species
GACGAGACUAGCACCUCUACAUCUGAGUGCCC